rnacentral:lncRNA from 10 species
UUUUGCUGGAGCCUGCGACCGAGUGGGAGUGGAGUGGAGCGGCUGUGGUUGCCGACUCUUUCCUCUUCCCCACGGUCCAGUCAGCGGGUUAAUUAGGCCAUCGGCCCUCGAGCCGAGACUUGUCUCUUAUUUAGUUCUGGGGAGCGCCUCGUCGACAUGAGUGAUGUGGAGGAAAACAACUUCGAGGGCAGAGUUAAUGUUCGUGAAGAAAUUGAAGAGUUUUUUCCAAGAAUGUGGAAGAUAAAUCAAGAUAAAAGAAGGCUAAUGAAAAGUAUUAAAGAUCAGAAAAUUAAAAUUGAAUGGGGGAAAAAAUUGAACAGAAGAUUGGUCAGAUAGAAGCACUUGAAUAUUUUUUUAAGGCUAUUUUGAAUUGUUUGAAUUGGGGAAGAAUACACGAAGUAUGAAAAAUGAAAAACUCAAUGAAGAAUGAAGAGAAGUAGAAAGCAAGAGUGAAGUAGAAUUAAAAGAAUCUGGAAGAAUGAAUGGGUCCUAGGUUAAGUAAAUGAGUCUCGCUCUCAGUCAAAAUCUCCAACGGGAACUCCUGCUCGUGUAAAAUCGGAGAGCAGGUCAGGAUCUCGUAGUCCAUCAAGGGUUUCCAAACACUCUGAAUCCCAUUCUCGAUCAAGAUCAAAAUCCAGGUCGAGGUCAAGGAGACAUUCUCAUAGACGUUACACUCGAUCCAGAUCCCACUCUCACUCUCAUAGGAGACGAUCUCGAAGUAGAUCAUAUACACCAGAAUACCGGCGGCGAAGGAGCCGAAGCCAUUCUCCAAUGUCUAACCGGAGAAGACAUACUGGCAGCAGGGCAAAUCCAGAUCCCAACACUUGCCUUGGAGUGUUUGGCCUCAGUUUGUACACAACAG